UACGAAGGGGGCUAGCGUUGCUCGGAAUGACUGGGCGUAAAGGGCGCGUAGGCGGAUGGCUUUGUCGGGCGUGAAAUUCCAGGGCUUAACCUUGGGGCUGCGUUCGAGACGGGUUGUCUUGAGUGGGGAAGAGGGUCGUGGAAUUCCCAGUGUAGAGGUGAAAUUCGUAGAUAUUGGGAGGAACACCAGUGGCGAAGGCGGCUACCUGGACCAGCAUUGACACUCAAGCACGAAAGCGUGGGGAGCAAACAGG
rnacentral:rRNA from 1 species